rnacentral:lncRNA from 1 species
GGAGCCUCUGCACGGACCUGGCCUGGCUCUGUGGCUGUCUCAACUUUUCGCUAGCAGACCCGGCUCACCGAGUUGGUUUUAAUCCCCGGACUCCAGUUCCUUUGUCUGUUCCCUCGUUUUUCCAUAGCUUCUUUUCUUUGUCUACUUUCAAAUCAUUGGAGGUCGUAGGAAUUGCGUGUUUGGGUCACCAAGUGGAGGGCUGAGACAUUUCUAGAAGUCUGGAAGACAGAUUUGCUCAGCGCGAUGGGCUGCAAAAACCUGUUGAGCCUGGGUCAGCAGAUGCUGCGCCGGAAAGUGGUGGACUGCAGCCGGGAGGAGAGCCGGCUGUCCCGCUGCCUCAACACCUAUGAUCUGGUAGCUCUUGGGGUGGGCAGCACCUUGGGUGCU